UGUCGUCAGCUCGUGUCGUGAGAUGUUCGGUUAAGUCCGGCAACGAGCGCAACCCACACUCUUAGUUGCCAGCAUUCAGUUGGGCACUCUAGGAGAACUGCCGGUGAUAAGCCGGAGGAAGGUGUGGAUGACGUCAAGUCCUCAUGGCCCUUACGGGUUGGGCUACACACGUGCUACAAUGGUGGUGACAAUGGGCUAAUCCCAAAAAGCCAUCUCAGUUCGGAUCGGGGUCUGCAACUCGACGGCAUGAAGUCGGAAUCGCUAGUAAUCGCGUAACAGCAUGACGCGGUGAAUACGUUCCCGGGA
rnacentral:rRNA from 1 species